UACGGGGGGGGCAAGCGUUGUUCGGAAUUACUGGGCGUAAAGGGCCAGUAGGCGGCCAACUAAGUCCGACGUGAAAUCCCAAGGCUUAACCUUGGAACUGCGUCGGAUACUGGAUGGCUUGAAUUCGGGAGAGGGAUGCAGAAUUCCAGGUGUAGCGGUGAAAUGCGUAGAUAUUGGGAAGAACACCGGUGGCGAAAGCGCGCGACUGGACCUGAACUGACACUGAGGGACGAAAGCUAGGGGAGCGAAAGGG
rnacentral:rRNA from 1 species